UACGUAGGGGGCAAGCGUUGUCCGGAUUUAUUGGGCGUAAAGAGCGUGUAGGCGGCUAGGUAGGUCCGUUGUGAAAACUCGAGGCUCAACCUCGAGACGCCGGUGGAAACCAUCUAGCUAGAGUCCGGAAGAGGAGAGUGGAAUUCCUGGUGUAGCGGUGGAAUGCGCAGAUAUCAGGAAGAACACCCGUGGCGAAGGCGGCUCUCUGGGACGUGACUGACGCUGAGACGCGAAAGCGUGGGGAGCGAACAGG
rnacentral:rRNA from 1 species